AGGCCAGCCAAUAAACAUCGACCCUCCAGCAUAACCUGAGUCUUCCUCUGGGUCUCCGCCCUUUGGGAUAUGAGUGGAACACCUCACCAGGGAGACGUCAGGGAGGUAUCCUAACCAGGUUUAGUCCAUUUGAUAAUUGAUGGAGGAACACUGUCAACACUGCAGGGUUGGGUGACGAGGGAAGCAGCCUAACUAAGAAGUCUAGGAGAGGGAGACAGUCAAAGU